AUGAGCUGGUUCUUUCUGAGAUCUCAAUCCACCAUGCUUGCACUUGCAGUCUUCCUGCUCCUGCUCACACAAACCACAGCAGGUUGGUCCAAACCUGAUUCAUGGAAGACGCAUGGAGGAGGAUGCAUCGCAAGGGAGAGGGAGGCCCUUCUGUCCAUCAAAGCCGGCAUCACAGCCGACCCGGAGCGCCUCCUCUCGUCGUGGCGAGGGCAGGACUGCUGCCAGUGGGAGGGCAUCAGGUGCAGCAACAUGACCGGCCAUGUCAUUGAGCUUGACCUUCAUGCGCGGUACAUCCGGUCUUCCCUGAAAGGUGAGAUCAGUUCUUCUCUCAAAACCCUGCAGCAUCUGCAACACCUCGACCUUGGUGGGAACUACGAUCUCACCGGGCCUCAAGGCCGCCUCCCAGACUUCGUAGGGUCUCUUAGUGACCUGCGAUACCUCAACCUUUCGGGCCUGAUUUUUUCUGGCACGGUGCCCCAUCAGCUUGGCAACCUCUCGAGGUUGCGAUACCUUGAUCUGAGAUCUUAUGGUCUGUACUCAGAAGAUCUCCGGUGGCUGUCACAGCUCUCUUUGCUCAAGCAUCUUGACAUGAGUUUUGCGAACCUCAGCGCCGUGAUAGGCUGGGUUGACACAGUGAACAUGCUGUCCUCUCUUGAGGUCCUCAGGCUAUCAACAUGUUCGCUUAUUACGACAAACCACUAUAUGCCUCGCUCGAAUCUCACCAGGCUCAAGAUCCUCGACCUCUAUCGGAACUCCAUUGAAAUGCAGUUUGACGCUAUUAGCUGGGUUUGGGACGCAAGCAGCCUGAAAUAUCUCAACCUUGAGUUCAACGGUAUAUAUGGUGUGUUUCCUGCACAAUUGGGAAACUUGACCUCACUUGAAGUCCUUAAGCUGAGGGAGAACCAUAUAAAGGGAAUGAUACCAGACACACUGACCAGCCUUUGCAGCCUGAGAAUAUUUGAAUUGGCAUAUAAUGAUGUUCAAGGGGACGUGACGGAGUUCAUCGAGAGGUUACCGAAAUGUUCAUGGAGUCGGUUGCAGGAGCUGCAUCUGGGCCACAAUAACAUAACUGGCUCACUAUCAGAUUGGAUCAGCCACAUGACUAGCUUGAGCACUCUUGAUCUCAGUUUCAACAAGCUUAUAGGACCUCUGACCACUGCGAUAGGCAUGCUUUCUAACCUGAUUUACCUGAACAUAGGGUACAAUCAGAUGGAUGGUCUCAUCACUCAAGAGCACUUCUCCAAGCUUACAGAGUUGCAGGAGCUGCACUUAUCUGGAAAUUCCUUUACCAUGAAGCUGAACUCUGACUGGAUCCCUCCAAGGAGAUUGCUCACACUAGGAUUAAGAUCAUGCUAUCUUGGGCCGAGAUUUCCUCAGUGGCUCAAAUCACCAAAGAAUAUCUCCUACCUUUAUAUGUCCAAUGCCAGCAUAGCUGAUACCAUGCCUGAUUGGUUUUGGACUGUGUUUAGAAAGGCUGACGUUUUGGACCUCUCAAACAAUAACAUCAGUGGCACAUUACCAGCUACUCUUGGACAGAUGGACACCAGUUUCUUAGAUCUAAGCUCGAAUCAGUUCAUUGGUCCGGUAGAACAGCUGCCUCAGAAUAUAACGACUUUAGAUCUCUCAAGAAACUCCCUGUCAGGGGCUCUGCCAUUAAAUGUCAGAUGGCCAUUACUCAUAGACAGAUUGCUUCUAUUUGACAACCAUUUCACGGGCACUAUCCCGGCAUCGUUAUGCCAAAUGAAGUUACUAACACUGCUUGACAUUAGAAACAAUAUGAUAACAGGUCAGUUCCCUCGAUGUUCAGAAAAUGUGGCGUCAAGUUCAGGAACGGUGCCAUCAAACAUAGCUUCUGUGGAUAGUGAUUCAAGCUCUGAGAUAUCAUCGUCGAUGUCAAUUCAAACUCUGAGGCUCAACAACAAUAGCCUCUCGGAUGAAUUCCCUUUGAUAUUACAGAAUUGCCCAGAACUAACUUUUAUUGAUCUUGGGCAAAAUAGGUUUUUUGGAAGUAUACCACCUUGGAUUGGAGAGAAAUUACCACAGCUGAAAUUUCUGAGCCUCAGGUCCAACAUGUUUUCUGGCUAUAUACCCACCCAGCUUAGAGGACUUCGAUAUCUCCAAUAUUUGGACCUAGCACACAACAACUUCUCAGGUACUAUACCUCGAUCCCUAUUAAACAUGGAUGGCGUGACCAAGACUACAGAAUUAGCAGCUCGGGAUUACCCAUCCAGCACUUCCAGCGACAUGGCUACAGUAGAUGAUGGCAUUACUGUAGUAGAUGACCCCCAACAUCCUGGUGGUGGGUAUGAGUAUGCUAUGAUCGCUAGCAUAUUUGUAGUCACAAAAGGGCAAGGGCGCGAAUAUAUUGGUCGGUUCAUAGACAUAGUGAGUCUUGAUUUAUCCUGCAAUCAUUUAACUGGAAAUAUCCCCGAAAGCAUAGGUCCUGCAGCAGGUUUAGUGAAUAUGAAUCUGUCUUUGAACCACUUGACCGGAAAAAUCCCAGAGAACAUUGGCUCCAUGCACUCACUGGAAUCACUUGACCUCUCCAGCAACCAGCUCUCUGGCGAAAUCCCUCCGGGCUUAUCCGAUCUAACAUCAUUAAGCUAUCUGAACUUGUCCUACAACGAAUUAUCAGGAAGGAUACCGUCGGGGCACCAGCUUGACACACUCAACCCUUCCGACCCCGCAUCCAUGUACAUUGGCAACGCAGGCCUCUGCAAACCUCCUCUUCAGAAGAGCUGUCCGGGAAACCAUACAGCAGAAAGCCACUUCACAGCGAGCAAAGAGGGAUCCGAAGCGAUGCCCUUCUGUUUCGGGUUAAGCGUGGGCUUUGUGGUUGGCCUCUGGGUGGUGUUCUGCUCCCUUCUCUUCAAGAAAACAUGGAAGGCCUCCUAUUUCCGUCUCUUUGAUAAGGUUUGUGAUAAAAUUUAUGUGCUUGUGGUUGUGAAUUGGGCGAGGAUGACGAGGAAGCCAACCACCAAAGAUUGA
rnacentral:rRNA from 1 species